rnacentral:tRNA from 1 species
GUCAAUGUAAUAUAUAUAAGGUUAUAUAUUAGUAAUUAAUAAUAAAUAAUUAAAUUAUAUUAAAA